rnacentral:rRNA from 1 species
AUUGAACGCUGGCGGCAUGCUUUACACAUGCAAGUCGAACGGUAACAGGCCUUCGGGUGCUGACGAGUGGCGAACGGGUGAGUAAUGCAUCGGAACGUGCCCAGAGGUGGGGGAUAACGCAGCGAAAGCUGUGCUAAUACCGCAUGUGAUCUGAGGAUGAAAGCGGGGGACCAGGCAGCAAUGUUUGGCCUCGCGCCUUUGGAGCGGCCGAUGUCAGAUUAGGUAGUUGGUGGGGUAAAGGCCUACUAAGCCGACGAUCUGUAGCUGGUCUGAGAGGACGACCAGCCACACUGGGACUGAGACACGGCCCAGACUCCUACGGGAGGCAGCAGUGGGGAAUUUUGGACAAUGGGCGCAAGCCUGAUCCAGCAAUGCCGCGUGCGGGAAGAAGGCCUUCGGGUUGUAAACCGCUUUUGUACGGAACGAAAAGGCUCUGGCUAAUACCUGGGGCUGAUGACGGUACCGUAAGAAUAAGCACCGGCUAACUACGUG